UACGUAGGGUGCAGGCGUUAAUCGGAAUUACUGGGCGUAAAGCGUGCGCAGGCGGUUUGCUAAGACAGGUGUGAAAUCCCCGGGCUUAACCUGGGAACUGCGCUUGUAACUGGCAAGCUAGAGUGUGGCAGAGGGGGGUGGAAUUCCACGUGUAGCAGUGAAAUGCGUAGAGAUGUGGAGGAACAUCUGUGGCGAAGGCGGCCAUCUGGACCAGCACUGACACUGAGGCACGAAAGCGUGGGGAGCAAACAGG
rnacentral:rRNA from 1 species